UUUUAUAACUUUUUAACUUUAAUAACAUAAAUAUUAAUUUUUAAAAAUAAGGCUGGCCAGGCAUGGUGGCUCACGCCUGUAAUCCCAGCACUUUGGGAGGCUGAGGCGGGCGGAUCACGAGGUCAGGAGAUCGAGACCAUCCUGGCUAACAUAGUGAAACCCUGUCUCUACUAAAAAUACAAAAAUUGUCUGGGCAUGGUGGUGGGCCCUGUAUUCCCAGCUACUCGGGAGGCAUGAGCCACCGCGCCCGGCUAAUUUUUGUAUUUUUAGUAGAGACAGGAUUUCACCAUGUUGUUUAGGUUGGUCUCGAUCUCUUGACCUCGUGAUCUGCCCGCCUCAGCCU
rnacentral:antisense_RNA from 1 species